rnacentral:rRNA from 1 species
AUACAUGCAGUUGAACGAGAUUAGUUUUAGCAAUAGAACUUUUUUAGUGGCGCACGGGUGCGUAACGCGUAUGCAACCUACCUUAAACAGGGGAAUAGCCUCUCGAAAGAGAGAUUAAUACCGCAUAAUAUAUAUUUAGAGCAUUCUAGAUAUAUUAAACCUACGGGGGUUUAAGAUGGGCAUGCGUGACAUUAGCUAGUUGGUGAGGUAAUGGCUCACCAAGGCAACGAUGUCUAGGGGGUCUGAGAGGAUGUCCCCCCACACUGGUACUGAGACACGGACCAGACUCCUACGGGAGGCAGCAGUAGGGAAUAUUGGUCAAUGGAGGCAACUCUGAACCAGCCAUGCCGCGUGCAGGACUAAGGCCCUAUGGGUCGUAAACUGCUUUUGAACGGGAAGAAAUGUAUCUACGUGUAGAUAUUUGACGGUACCGUUAGAAUAAGGAUCGGCUAACUUCGUGCCAGCAGCCGCGGUAAUACGAAGGAUCCAAGCGUUGUCCGGAUUUACUGGGUUUAAAGGGUGCGUAGGCGGACUUAUAAGUCAGUGGUGAAAGCCUUCAGCUUAACUGAAGAACUGCCAUUGAAACUGUAAGUCUCGAGUUCGGUUGAGGUCAUUGGAAUGUAACAUGUAGCGGUGAAAUGCAUAGAUAUGUUACAGAACACCAAUUGCGAAGGCAGAUGACUAAACCGAAACUGACGCUGAGCACGAAAGCGUGGGGAUCAAACAGGAUUAGAUACCCUGGUAGUCCACGCCCUAAACGUUGAAUACUCGACCUUAGCGAUAUACAGUAGGGUCNAGCGAAAGCGU